GAUGAACGCUGGCGGCGUGCCUAAUACAUGCAAGUCGAGCGAACAGACUAGAAGCUUGCUUCUCUCACGUUAGCGGCGGACGUGUGAGUCACACGUGUAUAACCUACCUAUAAUACUGGUAUAACUUCGGGAAACCGGAUCUUACACCAUAUAAUAUUUUGAUCCGCAUUGUGCAAAAGUGAAAGACGGUCUUGCUUUCACUUAUGGAUGGUUCCCCGCUGCAUUAGAUAGUUGGUAAGGUAACGGCUUACCAAGGCAACGAUGCAUAGCCGAAGUGAGAGGGUGAUAGGCGACACUGGAACGGAGACGGCGUCAAGAGGCCUAAGAGAGGCCGCAGACGCGAAUCUUCGGCAGUGGGCGAAAGCAUGACGGAGCAAGGCCGAGUGAGUGAUGAAGGUCUUGGGUGCGUAAAAAUGUGUUAUUAGGGAAGAACACAUGUGUAAGUAGAUGUGCACAAAUUGACGGUACCUAGUCAGAAAGCAACGGCUAACUACGUG
rnacentral:rRNA from 1 species